AGAGUUUGAUCCUGGCUCAGGACGAACGCUGGCGGCGUGCUUAACACAUGCAAGUCGAGCGGGGUCCAACCUGUGGCAACACAGGGGAAGACCUAGCGGCGAACGGGUGAGUAACACGUGAGCAACCUGCCCCGAAGACUGGGAUAACACCGGGAAACCGGUGCUAAUACCGGAUACCCUCUCUGAGUCGCAUGGCUCGGAGAGGAAAUGGAUUCCGCUUCGGGAGGGGCUCGCGGCCUAUCAGCUUGUUGGUGGGGUAACGGCCUACCAAGGCUCCGACGGGUAGCUGGUCUGAGAGGACGACCAGCCACACUGGGACUGAGACACGGCCCAGACUCCUACGGGAGGCAGCAGUGGGGAAUCUUGCGCAAUGGGCGAAAGCCUGACGCAGCAACGCCGCGUGGGGGACGAAGGCCUUCGGGUUGUAAACCCCUUUCAGCAGGGACGAACAUGACGGUACCUGCAGAAGAAGCCCCGGCCAACUACGUGCCAGCAGCCGCGGUAAUACGUAGGGGGCGAGCGUUGUCCGGAUUUAUUGGGCGUAAAGAGCUCGUAGGCGGUUUGGCAAGUCGGGUGUGAAAACUCCGGGCUCAACUCGGAGACGCCACUCGAUACUGCUAUGACUCGAGUCCGGUAGGGGAGUGCGGAAUUCCUGGUGUAGCGGUGAAAUGCGCAGAUAUCAGGAGGAACACCGGUGGCGAAGGCGGCACUCUGGGCCGGUACUGACGCUGAGGAGCGAAAGCGUGGGGAGCGAACAGGAUUAGAUACCCUGGUAGUCC
rnacentral:rRNA from 1 species